GUUUAAGUAGCUUAAAUUAAAGCUUAAUAUUGAAGCUAUUAUGAUAAGAUAUAUUCUUCUUAAACA
rnacentral:tRNA from 1 species